GAGCGGCGGACGGUAGUAUGUCUGGAACUGCNUGAUGGAGGGGGAUACUACUGAACGGUAGCUAUACGAUUAACGUCGCAGACCAAAGUGGGGGACCUUCGGGCCUCAUGCCAUCAGAUGUGCCCAGAUGGGAUUAGCUAGUAGUGGGGUAAUGGCUCACCUAGGCGACGAUCCCUAGCUGGUCUGAGAGGAUGACCAGCCACACUGGAAACUGAGACACGGUCCAGACUCCUACGGGAGGCAGCAGUGGGGAAUAUUGCACAAUGGGCGCAAGCCUGAUGCAGCCAUGCCGCGUGUAUGAAGAAGGCCUUCGGGUUUGUAAAGUACUUUCAGCGAGGAGGAAGGCAUUAAGGUUAAUAACCUUAGUGAUUGACGUUACUCGCAAAAAGCACCGGCUAACUCCGUGCCACAGCCGCGGUAUACGGAGGUGCAGCGUUAUCGGAUUAUUGGUUAAGGGUCGUAGGCGGGUCUGUAAGUCAGGUGGGUGAAAUCUCACAGUUAACUGUGAAACUGCCAUUGAUACUUGCAGGUCUUGAGUGUUGUUUGAAGUAGCUGGAAAUAAGUAGGUUAGGUGAAAUGCUUUAGAUUUUACUUAAAACC
rnacentral:rRNA from 1 species